rnacentral:rRNA from 1 species
CCUACGGGGGGCAGCAGUGGGGAAUAUUGGACAAUGGGGGGAACCCUGAUCCAGCCAUGCCGCGUGUGUGAAGAAGGCCCUCGGGUUGUAAAGCACUUUCAGUGAGGAAGAACGCCUGGUGGUUAAUACCCAUCAGGAAAGACAUCACUCACAGAAGAAGCACCGGCUAACUCCGUGCCAGCAGCCGCGGUAAUACGGAGGGUGCGAGCGUUAAUCGGAAUUACUGGGCGUAAAGCGCGCGUAGGUGGCUUGAUAAGCCGGUUGUGAAAGCCCCGGGCUCAACCUGGGAACGGCAUCCGGAACUGUCAAGCUAGAGUGCAGGAGAGGAAGGUAGAAUUCCCGGUGUAGCGGUGAAAUGCGUAGAGAUCGGGAGGAAUACCAGUGGCGAAGGCGGCCUUCUGGACUGACACUGACACUGAGGUGCGAAAGCGUGGGUAGCAAACAGGAUUAGAUACUCUAGUAGUC